rnacentral:rRNA from 1 species
CCUACGGGAGGCAGCAGUGAGGAAUAUUGGUCAAUGGACGCAAGUCUGAACCAGCCAUGCCGCGUGCAGGAAGACGGCUCUAUGAGUUGUAAACUGCUUUUGUACGAGGGUAAACGCAGAUACGCGUAUCUGUCUGAAAGUAUCGUACGAAUAAGGAUCGGCUAACUCCGUGCCAGCCGCCGCGGUAAUACGGAGGAUUCAAGCGUUGUCCGGAUUUAUUGGGUUUAAGGGGUGCGUAGGCGGUCGGAUAAGUUAGAGGUGAAAUCCCGAGGCUCAACUUCGGCAUUGCCUCUGAUACUGUUGGGUUAGAGAGUAGUAGCGGUAGGCGGAAUGUAUGGUGUAGCGGUGAAAUGCUUAGAGAUCAUAAAGAACACCGAUUGCGAAGGCAGCUUACCAAGCUACUUCUGACGUUGAGGCACGAAAGCGUGGGGAGCAAACAGGAUUAGAUACCCGUGUAGUC